rnacentral:rRNA from 1 species
CGGGUGAGUAACGCGUGAGGAACCUGCCUCAGAGAGGGGGAUAACACACCGAAAGGUGUGCUAAUACCGCAUAACAUAUGANAGGGGCAUCCCUUUCAUAUCAAAGAUUUAUUGCUCUGAGAUGGCCUCGCGUCCAAUUAGCUAGUUGGUGAGGUAACGGCCCACCAAGGCGACGAUUGGUAGCCGGACUGAGAGGUUGAACGGCCACAUUGGGACUGAGACACGGCCCAGACUCCUACGGGAGGCAGCAG